rnacentral:rRNA from 1 species
UACGAAGGUGGCAAGCGUUGUUCGGAUUUACUGGGCGUACAGGGAGCGUAGGCGGUUGGAUAAGCCCUCCGUGAAAUCUCCAGGCUUAACCUGGAAAGUGCAGAGGGGACUGUUCAGCUAGAGGAUGGGAGAGGAGCGCGGAAUUCCCGGUGUAGCGGUGAAAUGCGUAGAUAUCGAGAGGAACACCUGCGGCGAAGGCGGGUUGCUGGGCUGACACUGACGCUGAGGAGCGAAAGCGUGGGGAGCGAACAGG